AGUGAACGCUGGCGGUAUGCCUAACACAUGCAAGUCGAACGGCAGCACAGUAAGAGCUUGCUCUUACUGUUGGCGAGUGGCGGACGGGUGAGGAAUACAUCGGAAUCUACUUUUUCGUGGGGGAUAACGUAGGGAAACUUACGCUAAUACCGCAUACUACCUACGGGUGAAAUCAGGGGAUCUUCGGACCCUGCGCGAUUGAAUGAGCCGAUGUCGGAUUAGCUAGUUGGCGGGGUAAAGGCCCACCAAGGCGACGAUCCGUAGCUGGUCUGAGAGGAUGAUCAGCCACACUGGAACUGAGACACGGUCCAGACUCCUACGGGAGGCAGCAGUGGGGAAUAUUGGACAAUGGGCGCAAGCCUGAUCCAGCCAUACCGCGUGGGUGAAGAAGGCCUUCGGGUUGUAAAGCCCUUUUGUUGGGAAAGAAAAGCAGCAGGUUAAUACCCCGCUGUUCUGACGGUACCCAAAGAAUAAGCACCGGCUAACUUCGUG
rnacentral:rRNA from 1 species